rnacentral:rRNA from 1 species
GCUCAGAGUUAACGCUGGCAUCGUGCAUAACACAUGCAAGUCGAACGAGAAGUUUUUGUGUAGCAAUACAUGAAAAAUUCUAGUGGCAGACGGGUGAGUAAUACAUAAGGAAUCUACCUCAAAGCGGGGAAUAACUUAUCGAAAGAUAAGCUAAUACCCCAUAAUAUCAGUUAGUGGCAUCAUUAACUGCUUAAAGAUUUAUCACUUUGGGACGAUCUUAUGGUCUAUCAGCUUGUUGGUGGGGUAAUGGCCUACCAAGGCGACGACGGAUAGCCGGCCUGAAAGGGCGACCGGCCACAGGGGCACUGAGACACGGGCCCCACUCCUACGGGAGGCAGCAGUGGGGAAUUUUGGACAAUGGGCGCAAGCCUGAUCCAGCAACGAUGCGUGGAGGACGAAGGUUUUCGGAUUGUAAACUCCUUUUGCAGGGGAAGAAACAAAUGACGGUACCCUGCGAAUAAGCCACGGCUAACUACGUGCCAGCAGCCGCGGUAAGACGUAGGUGGCAAGCGUUACUCGGAAUUACUAGGCGUAAAGCGCGCGUAGGCGGAUGGUUAAGUCUGUUGUGUAAUCUCUGGGCCCAACCCAGAAACUGCAAUUGAAACUGGCUAUCUUGAGUGAGGCAGAGGAAAUCGGAAUUCCAAGUGUAGUAGUGAAAUGCGUAGAUAUUUGGAGGAACACCGGUGGCGAAGGCGGAUUUCUGGGCCUUUACUGACGCUGAAGUGCGAAAGCUAGGGGAGCAAACGGGAUUAGAUACCCCGGUAGUCCUAGCCGUAAACGAUGAUAACUAGGUGUGGGAGGUAUCGACCCCUUCCGUGCCGACGCUAACGCAUUAAGUUAUCCGCCUGGGGAGUACGGCCGCAAGGUUAAAACUCAAAGGAAUUGACGGGGACCCGCACAAGAGGUGGAGUAUGUGGUUUAAUUCGACGCUACGCGAAAAACCUUACCUGGGCUCGAACGAC